AAUUAUGGCGAAUAUUAUUUAAAGGAUACAACACCGUAUUUAAGUGCUCUAUGGCGAUCCGUGAAAUACUGUCAAUACAUUGCAGACGAUGGGAAAAUUGUGUUCUACCAAAAAUAUUUGUAAUUAAUUUUUAGCAAAUGUAUUAGGGGUAAACCAUUAUUGUUCAUAAUGAUGAUGGUUGACCCCUAUUGAUUAAAAUAGAUCUUAUAAAUGUAAA